UGGUGAACUAUGCCUGAG
rnacentral:snRNA from 1 species